rnacentral:rRNA from 1 species
AACAGGAUUAGAUACCCUGGUAGUCCACGCCGUAAACGAUGCUAACUCGUUUUUGGGGCUUUAAGCUUCAGAGACUAAGCGAAAGUGAUAAGUUAGCCACCUGGGGAGUACGUUCGCAAGAAUGAAACUCAAAGGAAUUGACGGGAGCCCGCACAAGCGGUGGAUUAUGUGGUUUAAUUCGAUGAUACGCGAGGAACCUUACCAAGGCUUAAAUGGGAAAUGACAGGUUUAGAAAUAGACUUUUCUUCGGACAUUUUUCAAGGUGCUGCAUGGUUGUCGUCAGCUCGUGCCGUGAGGUGUUAGGUUAAGUCCUGCAACGAGCGCAACCCCUGUCACUAGUUGCCAUCAUUAAGUUGGGGACUCUAGUGAGACUGCCUACGCAAGUAGAGAGGAAGGUGGGGAUGACGUCAAAUCAUCACGGCCCUUACGCCUUGGGCCACACACGUAAUACAAUGGCCAGUACAGAGGGCAGCUACACAGCGAUGUGAUGCAAAUCUCGAAAGCUGGUCUCAGUUCGGAUUGGAGUCUGCAACUCGACUCUAUGAAGCUGGAAUCGCUAGUAAUCGCGCACCAGCCAUGGCGCGGUGAAUACGUUCCCGGGCCUUGUACACACCGCCCGUCAAGCCAUGGAAGUCUGGGGUACCUGAAGUCGGUCACCGUAAGGAGCUGCCUAAGGCGAUACCAGUAACUGGGGCUAAGUCGUAACAAGGUAACC